rnacentral:rRNA from 1 species
UACGUAGGGUGCAAGCGUUGUCCGGAAUUAUUGGGCGUAAAGAGCUCGUAGGCGGUCUGUCGCGUCUGCUGUGAAAACUCGGGGCUUAACCCCGGGCCUGCAGUGGGUACGGGCAGACUAGAGUGCGGUAGGGGAGACUGGAAUUCCUGGUGUAGCGGUGAAAUGCGCAGAUAUCAGGAGGAACACCGGUGGCGAAGGCGGGUCUCUGGGCCGUAACUGACGCUGAGGAGCGAAAGCAUGGGGAGCGAACAGGAUUAGAU